UGGGGAAUAUUGCACAAUGGGGGAAACCCUGAUGCAGCGACGCCGCGUGAGCGAAGAAGGCCUUCGGGUCGUAAAGCUCUUUUAUGAGGGAAGAUAAUGACGGUACCAUAAGAAAAAGCCCCGGCUAACUACGUGCCAGCAGCCGCGGUAAUACGUAGGGGGCUAGCGUUGUCCGGAAUCACUGGGCGUAAAGGGUUCGCAGGCGGAAAUGCAAGUCAGGUGUAAAAGGCAGUAGCUUAACUACUGUAAGCAUUUGAAACUGCAUAUCUUGAGAAGAGUAGAGGUAAGUGGAAUUUUUAGUGUAGCGAUGAAAUGCGUAGAUAUUAAAAAGAAUACCGGUGGCGAAGGCGACUUACUGGGCUCAUUCUGACGCUGAGGAACGAAAGCGUGGGUAGCAAACAGG
rnacentral:rRNA from 1 species